rnacentral:rRNA from 1 species
UGAGGAAUAUUGGGCAAUGCCCGCAAGGGUGACCCAGCAACGCUGCGUGGAGGAUGAAUGUCGUAAGAUUGUAAACUCCUGUUAGAGGGGAAGAAUAGUACCGGUUGGACCGGUAUAUGACUGUACCCUCAGAGAAAGCCCCGGCUAACUACGUGCCAGCAGCCGCGGUAAUACGUAGGGGGCAAGCGUUGUCCGGAUUUACUGGGUGUAAAGGGCGCGCAGGCGGGAUAAAAAGUCAGUGGUGAAAUCCUACAGCUUAACUGUAGAACUGCCUUUGAUACUUUUAUUCUUGAGUUCGGGAGAGAGAGACGGAAUUCCAGGUGCAGUGGUGAAAUACGUAGAUAUCUGGAAGAACACCAGUUGCGAAGGCGGUCUCUUGGUCCGACACUGACGCUGAGGCGCGAAAGCGUGGGGAGCAAACA